AUGGCGGCGGGCAAGCAGGAGAAGAGCUACUUCGACGUGCUGGGCAUCUGCUGCCCGUCCGAGGUGCCGCUGGUGGAGAAGCUGCUCGAGCCGCUCGCCGGCGUGCACAAGGUCACCGUCGUCGUGCCGUCCCGGACGGUGAUCGUCGUGCACGACGCCGCCACCAUCUCCCAGUCCCAGAUAGUCAAGGCGCUGAACCAGGCAAGGCUAGAGGCGUCGGUGCGGGCAUACGGCGGCGCAGGCCAGAACAAGAUCAACAAAUGGCCGAGCCCCUACGUGCUCCUCUGCGGGGUCCUUCUGGUCGCCUCGCUCUUCCAGCACUUCUGGCACCCGCUGAGGUGGCUCGCGCUCGUCGCCACGGCCGCCGGCCUGCCGCCCAUCGUCCUCAGAAGCGUCGCCGCCGCGCGGAGGCUCACCCUCGACGUCAAUAUUCUCAUGCUCAUCGCAGUUGGUGGGGCAGUUGCACUCAAGGACUACUCCGAGGCCGGCUUCAUCGUCUUCCUCUUCACCACGGCGGAGUGGCUCGAGACAAGGGCGAGCUGCAAGGCCACUGCCGGGAUGUCGUCGCUGAUGAGCAUGGCACCACAGAACGCUGUGCUGGCAGAGACGGGGCAGGUGGUCGCAGCGCAGGACGUGAAGGUCAACACGGUGAUAGCCGUGAAGGCGGGGGAGGUCGUUCCGAUAGACGGCGUCGUCGUCGACGGGCGGAGCGAGGUCGACGAGCAGACCCUCACCGGAGAGUCCUUCCCGGUGGCCAAACAGACGGACUCGGAGGUCUGGGCCGGCACCCUCAACAUAGACGGCUACAUUUCGGUGAGGACAACAGCCAUGGCCGACAACUCGGCGGUGGCCAAGAUGGCGAGGCUGGUUGAGGAAGCACAGAACAGCAGAUCCGAGACGCAGAGGCUCAUCGACACCUGCGCUAAGUAUUACACUCCUGCGGUGAUCGUCAUGGCAGCGGCGGUGGCGGCGACGCCCGUGAUCGUGAGAGCACACAACCUGAGGCACUGGUUUCAGCUGGCCCUGGUCCUCCUGGUGAGCGCCUGCCCGUGCGCUCUGGUUCUCUCCACGCCGGUCGCCACCUUCUGCGCGCUGCUCAAGGCCGCGAGAACCGGGCUGCUCAUCAAGGGAGGGGAUGUGCUCGAGUCCUUGGCCGGGAUCAAAGUCGCGGCUUUCGACAAAACUGGCACGAUUAGCAGCGGAGAGUUCUCUGUGGCGGAGUUCCGGGCAAUCGGAGAACGUGUUCCGAGGCACCAACUUCUCAACUGGGUGUCGAGCGUGGAGAGCAGGUCGAGCCACCCAAUGGCAGCUGCCCUUGUUGAUUAUGCUCGAUCAAACUCCGUGGAACCAAACUCGGAGAAUGUCAUGGAAUUUCAGAUUUACCCUGGUGAGGGGAUUUACGGUGAAAUCGACGGACAAGGCGUGUACAUUGGGAACAGAAGAAUCUUGUCGAGGGCUUCAUGUGAAACAGUUCCAGAAGUAAAUGACAUCAAAGGGGUCACCGUUGGAUACGUGGCCUGCAACAAGGAGUUGGUCGGGCUAUUCGGUCUCUCGGACGUCUGUCGAACUGGAUCGGCCGAAGCCAUCAGGGAGCUGAGAUCAAUGGGCAUCAAGUCGGUGAUGCUCACAGGUGAUAGUGCUGCCGCUGCCACCUAUGCCCAGAACCAGCUGGGAAAUGUUCUAGCUGAGGUUCACUCUGAACUUUUGCCGGAGGACAAGGUGCGGAUCGUCGACGAGCUCAAGGCGAGGGACGGCUCCACGCUGAUGAUCGGCGACGGCAUGAACGACGCCCCGGCGCUGGCCAGGGCCGACGUCGGCGUCUCCAUGGGCGUGUCCGGCUCGGCCGUCGCCAUGGAGACGAGCCACGUCACGCUCAUGUCCAACGACGUCCGCAGGAUCCCCAAGGCCAUCCGGCUGGCGAGGAGGACGCGCCGGACCAUCGUCACCAACAUCGUCUUCUCGGUCGCCACGAAGCUCGCCAUCGUCGGGCUCGCGCUCGCCGGGCACCCGCUCGUCUGGGCGGCCGUGCUGGCGGACGUCGGCACGUGCUUGCUGGUGAUCAUGUACAGCAUGAUGUUGCUGAGGGGGGGAGACGGCGGGAGGGGCAAGAAAUGCUGCGCUUCUUCUCACCAUGGAUCUCACUCUCACCCCAAGAAGCAUGGCCAUUGCUCGGACGGUCCGUGCAAUUUGACUGGCGGCUGCGCGGAUUCAUCUGCUGGUGGCCAUGCUUGCGGCGAUGAUCAUCAUCACCACGGGCAUGGUGACGGCAAAGAGCCGGGCAUCCCGCAUCUCCCACACAAGCAUGGAUGUGAAGAUCAUCAUGGCCAUGGCCACAGCCACUGCAAAGAACCGAGCAAGCUGCACCCCACGGACAGCCAUCACUGUCGAGAUCAUGGCCAGGGCCACCACCACGGCAAAGAGGCGAGCAGCCAAUUGGUGACAAGCAAGAACAUUUCCCAUGGCCAUGGCCAGUGCAAAGAGAAGCACGAUGAGCACCACACCAACUCAGCCGAGGCAGUCCAAGAGCACUCCAUACUGAUCGACGCGUCAGCUGCUGACCAACAACAAAUCCAGUGCAGUCACCAGAGCGGAGAACACGAGGAGGAAAGCUGCGGGCAUCACGCCAAGGCGAAAGCCUGCGCCCCAGCUCCGGCCGACUGCUGCGACACGGUACGCGACGAGGGAUGCGGAACCAAAGCGGGGGGCGUGUGCUCGAGCCGGCGGGCUGGUGGCGCUGCCGGAGAAACCAGGCGAUGUUGCCGGAGCACCAGGGCGAGCAGGUGCGGCGGCGGCGGCCACGCAAGCAUGCUGAAGCUGCCUGAGAUCGUGGUGGAGUAG
rnacentral:rRNA from 1 species